rnacentral:rRNA from 1 species
UGGGGAAUCUUGCACAAUGGGGGCAACCCUGAUGCAGCGACGCCGCGUGAGCGAUGAAGCCCUUCGGGGCGUAAAGCUCUUUCGACCGGAACGAUAAUGACGGUACCGGGAGAAGAAGCCCCGGCUAACUUCGUGCCAGCAGCCGCGGUAAUACGAAGGGGGCUAGCGUUGUUCGGAAUUACUGGGCGUAAAGGGCGUGUAGGCGGCCCGCUAAGUCAGGUGUGAAAUUCCUGGGCUCAACCCAGGACGUGCACUUGAGACUGACGGGCUUGAGUCCGGGAGAGGAUGGUGGAACUCCCAGUGUAGAGGUGAAAUUCGUAGAUAUUGGGAAGAACACCUGUGACGAAGGCGGCCAUCCGGACCGGUACUGACGCUAAGGCGCGACAGCGUGGGGA